rnacentral:rRNA from 1 species
AGUGAACGCUGGCGGUAGGCCUAACACAUGCAAGUCGAACGGCAGCACAGUAAGAGCUUGCUCUUACGGGUGGCGAGUGGCGGACGGGUGAGGAAUACAUCGGAAUCUACUUUUUCGUGGGGGAUAACGUAGGGAAACUUACGCUACUACCGCAUACGACCUACGGGUGAAAGCAGUGGAUCUUCGGACCUUGCGCGCUUGAAUGAGCCGGGGCCGGGUGAGCUGGUGGGGGGGGUAAAGGCCCACCAAGGCGACGCGGCGUAGCUGGUCUGGGCGGAUGAUCGGCCACAGUGGAGGUGAGACGCGGUCCAGGCUCCUGGGGGGGGCAGCGGUGGGGAAGUGGGGGCAGAGGGGGAAAGCCUGACGGAGCAACGCCGCGGGGGUGAGGAGGGUCUUGGGGUGGUAAAGCUCUGUGGUUGGGGAAGAAAAAAGGGGGGAGAAACGCUGCGUGUCUGGACGGUACCUAAGGAGAAAGCCGCGGCUAACUGCGUG